GGCCAGCCCCAGCAUCAUAUUCACCGCAGCACCAUGUGGAUGUAAUAGCCAUGGAGGUAUGUAACAUUACAUUCACUUAGCCAAGAUGAGACUUUGCCUAUCUGUUCUUUCUGGCACAGUAUUUACUUCAUUUCAAUGUAACGUUAUUGGGCAAGCAGUGCCAAGUUUGGGCCGCAGGCUUGAAGGUAAGAACACAACUGUCACCAACUUAAAUGUACAUACUUAUUGGAAGUAUCGGCCAUCUGUUUUUACAGACUGUACCAAUAUAUGUAAAUAAAAUAUAGGAGGUGUUGGGGAUAUGUCAACAUAGUAUGUCAUUUCUAAUGCUUCUUUUGCAUAUUGUACUGUAGCUCAGGUUUCAGGCUGUAAUGCGUGCCAAUGAGCUGAAGAAGUCGACAGUGUGGCAGAAGCUACCUUGCAUUCUGUCAAAUCGUCUUGCCAUAGUCUCAACCUGGACUGGGUAUAAGGCCUGUUUCAGGGACUUGUUUCUGAAGACCAUUCUUCACAGAGCCAUUUGGAAGAGCCCUGCAACCCGAGACGUCACGGAUGAGGUGGUCCAGAUUCACCUGUUACCUGAAAGGGGCCAAUGAUUGUGAAGGCAGGAGGUGGCGGAACACAGGGGAGAGGGAUCCACUGCAGUGAGGGUGAACAUCAAGUCUCUGACCACCUGUCUCAAAGCCAGUUUCUAUCCCAAGCCACAAGACUGUUCCAACAGCUGAACCCUGGGCUGAUAACUACACCUUACCAUACAUUUACCAUUUAUUAAUAUACUGUACACACUGAAUUACUUUUUGAUUUAAUUGGUCUACUAGACCAAUGCAAUAGUUGUCACCUUACCUCAUUACUAAUGCAUAUCGUUUCCUAUAAUUCUAUGCUGCUACUGUACUGUACCUUAUUCCACUCACUAUGUACAUGGGCAAACAAUGUCCAUAGCCUGCUAUAUCCCAAUUUGGCCAUUUUUAAAAUCUUAUUUUCUUUUAUCUGCAUGCCUCUUGUGCUUGAUUUAGUUUAUUUAGUAUUUUUAUUAGUAUGUUAUAUAUUUACAAUGCCCCUUAUUUGAUUGCUUUCCUUUUUUAGUUAUUUGAUUACUAUGUCACUUACGCUGCCAUUGCACUGUGUGAGGAGCCUGACAAUAAAAUGUGAUUUGACUGGA